AAGUGCAAAGGCCCCUGCAAAAGUAAGCCUCCCAAGAACAGUUGUCUUUGGUGGAACCUAACCCAGAUUCUUCCAGCAACAGACUGUGAGAAAUGUAGUUUCCAGACUCCCAGGCCCCAGUCCUGCAGGGAGAAUAAAAGGAGACAGGAAAGGCUGGUUUCAGCAGUCCCCUGGGAGAGAAUCUCUGAGAGGGGAGGAAGUUGGGAUGAGAGAAGACCACUCACUUAUCAUGGAAGUGGUAGCAGAGAGAACCCAGGAAGUUUGUCCAGUAACAGUUUGAAAGUGGCUGAGCCUAUAAGGAAUCCCUGUGACAUCAUGUCUCAGGAGAGGGCCUCUGAGACCAUCAUUAUGUGUGUUUGUACUGAAGUGAAAUUGGUAAUAAAUACUUUGCCAUGUUAUGAGGAA